AAAGUCGUAACAAGGUUUCCGUAGGUGAACCUGCGGAAGGAUCAUUAUAAAAUUUUCGUAUAUUUAUUUUUUAAAUAUAUAAAAUUACACAUUCAAAACCCACACUCUUGUAACCAUUUAUAAAAUAUAUUAUAUCUUGCAUAUAAUAAUAAUUAAAAACAACUUUCAACAACGGAUCUCUUGGCUCUC
rnacentral:misc_RNA from 1 species